AUAUAGACAAAAGUUUCUGGAUUGGAUUGGCAGAGUGAUUGUUAGAAUGGAGGAAGAUCUUACUGAUGAGUCGUGACCAGUAUGCCCAAACCGGGCGGCAAAGAGUCAAAAAUUGAACAAUUCGAGGCGUAUGCAGCCCUUAUCUGAUAGUAAAUGGUAAAUAUCAAGAUAGUGAAAUUAGGGGUGUAAAUAAACUAAAACCCUAACCCUUCACAGUUCACACUUCACACUCCAUCUCAACACCAUUGACACAGACAAUAGCUUUAGAGGUUCAGCAGGUAGCUGAAGGAGGAAACCCUAGUACGAAAUUCAAGUUUUUGAGAUCAUCAAUCUGCACAACACCAACACCAGCGGUAGCAAGAAUCCGAUAUGGAAGAAGCUAGUCUAAGAGAAAUUGCCAAGUAUAAGCUGUUACUAAAGACUAGAGUAAUACACAAGAAGAAGAAAAGGAAGAAGAACAAAAUACUUGAUUUAUAUUGGAGGUUUGGUAUGAGCGAAUUCGUAAAUAAAAAUUGGUUUCAAAUUUUUCAGCAGCACUUGCUAGAUCAUCUUCUUUGUAAGGGGGUUCAGAUAAACAGUGCCGUCCAUUGAUCUUCGAUAUAAUCCACGAUCGAUGGGUUAAAGAAAGAUUAAUUGUUUUAAGAAUGCUAAACUACUCACGAUCUUAAAGCUGAAAAUGUUUGGAGUAGGAAACCGUCUGUUUGAACUCCUGCUAUUUGUAAUCUUCUUUCACUGAAGAUUCGGUUCCUCCCAUACAGGAAGGUGGACGCCACACAUUUCAAUUUAACUUACACCCAUUGGGGUAAGCAAGCUCAGGAUUUUUUCGCACUAGAUGAACGUUAUGAAAAAGCUACCUUGUCUAUUGCGCUGUGGAAUAUAUAGGAACAGGAAAACAAACUGGAGAAGGUGUCACCAUACUCUCCAUUGAAGAUGAACAAAGCUACCUUGUGUUGCAGAUAAGCCCAAUGUGUAACCGAAAUGGAGUGGAAGGAUCUUGUAAAAUUUUGGACUACUGAAGAGCAUCAGGUACUUUUUGAUCGCAUUGUCAAGAGCAGAAGCCAUCAAGAAGGCAGACACACAAUGGGGAUACUUUUCUCUAUACAAAUCUGAAAUGAUGGUUGGCAAGUCUUUGGCUCGAAUCCGUUAGAAGAGCAGGAAAAUGGUCUGGUGAUCCAGAUGAUAGAGGUCUUCAGACAUCUAGUGAUGCCCAGGCAUUUCACAAAUAUCUGCGAUGAUACCAGAGUUUCAAACAAAAAUAGAACUUUAGUGGUCCAGUAUUAUAUAAGCAAGGCAUCAAAUAUGGUGGUGGUUAUAUUAAGCUUUCUUUCCAGUUAUGUCAAUCUGAAGAAAUUUGGUGGUGAUACUCCUUACAGCCUUACAGCUCAGAUUGAUGGAUGUUUGACGACCAGGUUCGAGUAAGAUAAGUGGUGUGAUCUUGAUGCUAGGAAAGACUUAUACUCAAACUUAUACUCAGCCUCCUCCUUGAUGGACGCUUCUGUUGCUUUUGCUAGGGCUGGCUACAAUGCAGUUAACCUUGAUCCUAAUCUUAGCAAUGAGCUGAUUUGGUUAGGAGACAAAUUAGGUACUUUCUCGGUGAGGUCUGCUGAUGUAAAUGAGCUUAUUCUGCCUGCAAAUUCUUCUUUUCCGAAAAAAAUUAAAAAGAUUUGGUCGAGGAGCUGUUUUUUUCUUUGGCAACUGUGUUAAAAUAGGCUUCUACUCUUUCCAACCUUCACAGGAGAAACAAUGCAACAUACUCCAUAAAGGAGUGCUUGCUAGAAUAGCAGAAUGGAGGAAGGUGUGGCCCAUGAGCAGCCAGAAACGGUAGGAAGAAGAUCUGCCGAAAGCUGCGAGGCAAAUAGCAGUGUAAGAAGAUAAGAUUAGUAUCUUCAGGUUACACUUGGCAUAAAUCACAUCUAUCACUAUCUGCACUUAGUAAUUCACAUCUACCAUAAUAAUUCACACCUUGAACAAUUUUCCCUUGUUCAAACCGAUUUCUACCCAAAAUCCAUUUCUGUCGGAAGCAGCUUUCGAAAACAAAAAAGAAGGUCAGACUUCAGAGGUGUAAGCAGCCCUUAUGUGAUGGAAAAAUAUCAGAAGUAAAAUAGUGACAGUUGGGGUGUAAAUAACCCAAGACCAUAACCCUACACAUUCCCAAACUCAUAACCUGGUUUAAUUGGGGGCCCUAAAAACAAUUAGGGCCCUGCACUACGGGACAAAAAUGGUCAUGAAAUAGUAAAUAUGGAUUAUUUCUUAUCCCAUUUUUUUUGAAAUG